rnacentral:rRNA from 1 species
UACGGAGGGGGCUAGCGUUAUUCGGAAUUACUGGGCGUAAAGCGCACGUAGGCGGCUUUGUAAGUUAGAGGUGAAAGCCCGGAGCUCAACUCCGGAACUGCCUUUAAGACUGCAUCGCUUGAAUCCGGGAGAGGUGAGUGGAAUUCCGAGUGUAGAGGUGAAAUUCGUAGAUAUACGGAAGAACACCAGUGGCGAAGGCGGCUCACUGGACCGGUAUCGACGCUGAGGUGCGAAAGCGUGGGGAGCAAAC